rnacentral:rRNA from 1 species
UACGUAGGGUGCAAGCGUUGUCCGGAAUUAUUGGGCGUAAAGAGCUCGUAGGCGGUCUGUCGCGUCGGCUGUGAAAUCCCGAGGCUCAACCUCGGGUCUGCAGUCGAUACGGGCAAACUAGAGUAUUGCAGGGGAGACUGGAAUUCCUGGUGUAGCGGUGAAAUGCGCAGAUAUCAGGAGGAACACCGGUGGCGAAGGCGGGUCUCUGGGCAAUAACUGACGCUGAGGAGCGAAAAGCGUGGGGGAGCGAACAGG